rnacentral:ribozyme from 1 species
UCCUUGAAUGACACCAAAUGGAUGAAUAAUGUAUCAGACUAGCAAUGCUGGAAAAGAAUUGGUGCUCCCUUUUGGUACCCAGCGUCCGGA